rnacentral:rRNA from 1 species
UACGUAGGCAGCGAGCGUUGUUCGGAAUUACUGGGCGUAAAGAGUGUGUAGGCGGUGUUCCAAGUUCGGUGUGAAAUCUCCCGGCUUAACUGGGAGGGUGCGCCGAAAACUGGAAUGCUCGAGCGUGGGAGAGGAAAGCGGAAGUUCCUGGUGUAGCGGUGAAAUGCGUAGAUAUCUGGAGGAACACCGGUGGCGAAGGCGGCAUCCUGGACCAAUUCUGACGCUGAGGAGCGAAAGCCAGGGGAGCAAACGGG